CCUACGGGGGGCUGCAGUGGGGAAUAUUGGACAAUGGGGGCAACCCUGAUCCAGCCAUGCCGCGUGUGUGAAGAAGGCCCUCGGGUUGUAAAGCACUUUCAGUGAGGAAGAACGCCUGGUGGUUAAUACCCAUCAGGAAAGACAUCACUCACAGAAGAAGCACCGGCUAACUCCGUGCCAGCAGCCGCGGUAAUACGGAGGGUGCGAGCGUUAAUCGGAAUUACUGGGCGUAAAGCGCGCGUAGGUGGCUUGAUAAGCCGGUUGUGAAAGCCCCGGGCUCAACCUGGGAACGGCAUCCGGAACUGUCAAGCUAGAGUGCAGGAGAGGAAGGUAGAAUUCCCGGUGUAGCGGUGAAAUGCGUAGAGAUCGGGAGGAAUACCAGUGGCGAAGGCGGCCUUCUGGACUGACACUGACACUGAGGUGCGAAAGCGUGGGUAGCAAACAGGAUUAGAUAACCUUGUAGUC
rnacentral:rRNA from 1 species